CAUUCCCCAACCUUCACAUCUCCCACCAGUCCUUCUCUGUUAGUGAAGAGCAGGUCUAGCAGGGCACCACCCCUGGUAGGCUCUCUUACUAGCAAAUCAAACAUCUGAGGUGUCCUGAGGACUUUUGCAUUUCCCCUAGUGAAUUCUUUAAUUUGUCCAAAGUUUCUCUGUUUUUACUUUCACCUAAUUAUUAUAAUAAAGAUAGCUGCAGUGGAAGACAUGUAUUCUACAUUUGCGUAAGACAUUUACCCCAUUUCUCCCCAAAGUUUUGAUUUUAUGCUUCACAUAAUGGGCGUCAUCAUCUCUUCAUUAUGCAGACAGGACAUAGAUGCUCACAUAUUCAGACAACCCAAUGCCAGAUAUGGAAAACACAUCUUAAGAGACCUCAACUACUACGUGCACGUAAAAAUAAAUAGACUAUUUAGCAGAGAAGCCAUAAAUCCAAAGCAUUUGGCAUCAUAUUUAUGCUUCCUGGUGAGAUCUCAUACAUCUUAAAGACUAUGCUGAAUAGAGUGGAAACAAUGCCUUUUGCUACAGUAGGAUUCCAAAGACCAGGCUCUGUGAAAGACUGGUGAGAACCUCAUCAAGAAGAAGACAGCAAGUCAGACGGAAUUCACUUGUCUUCAGGAUUAUCCAAACUCUCCAGGAGUUCUAAAGAGUUUUAUUCUUAUGUUUGGUUGGUUUUGUUGCUUUUACAUUUAGGAAAAUCCAUAUAUUCAAAUUCCUACAGAGAUUUGCUAAAAGUAGCUCAGUGGUAGGUUGUCAAACUGAAAGAUAUAAAGGUUCUCCUAGAGAACCAUAAUCCAUGAAAUGAAUAUCCAGUUGCCAUACCUGUCAUGUAUCACCCAGGUUGCUACUUUAUAUAA
rnacentral:lncRNA from 1 species